rnacentral:rRNA from 1 species
GUACACUCCUACGGGAGGCAGCAGUGGGGAAUUUUGGACAAUGGGCGAAAGCCUGAUCCAGCAAUGCCGCGUGUGUGAAGAAGGCCUUCGGGUUGUAAAGCACUUUUGUCCGGAAAGAAAUCCUUGGCUCUAAUACAGUCGGGGGAUGACGGUACCGGAAGAAUAAGCACCGGCUAACUACGUGCCAGCAGCCGCGGUAAUACGUAGGGUGCGAGCGUUAAUCGGAAUUACUGGGCGUAAAGCGUGCGCAGGCGGUUUGCUAAGACCGAUGUGAAAUCCCCGGGCUCAACCUGGGAACUGCAUUGGUGACUGGCAGGCUAGAGUAUGGCAGAGGGGGGUAGAAUUCCACGUGUAGCAGUGAAAUGCGUAGAGAUGUGGAGGAAUACCGAUGGCGAAGGCAGCCCCCUGGGCCAAUACUGACGCUCAUGCACGAAAGCGUGGGGAGCAAACAGGAUUAGAAACCCCAGUAGUCCC